rnacentral:rRNA from 1 species
CACUCCGCCUGGUGAGUACGGACCGCAAGGUUGAAACUCAAAGGAAUUGACGGGGACCCGCACAAGCGGGGGAGCAUGUGGUUUAAUUCGAUGCAACGCGAAAAACCUUACCAAAUCUUGACAUCCUCUGACCCCUCUAGAGAUAGAGUUUUCCCCUUCGGAGGACAAAGUGACAGGUGGUGCAUGGGUGUCGUCAUCUCGUGUCGAGAUAUGUUGGGUUAAGUCCCGCAACGAGCGCAACCCUUAAGCUUAUUUGCCAUCAUUAAGUUGGGCACUCUAAGUUGACUGCCGGUGACAAACCGGAGGAAGGUGGGGAUGACGUCAAAUCAUCAUGCCCCUUAUGAUUUGGGCUACACACGUGCUACAAUGGACAAUACAAAGGGCAGCGAAACCGCGAGGUCAAGCAAAUCCCAUAAAGUUGUUCUCAGUUCGGAUUGUAGUCUGCAACUCGACUAUAUGAAGCUGGAAUCGCUAGUAAUCGUAGAUCAGCAUGCUACGGU